UUGGGCAAAUUGUCUCCGCUUGCUACACGAGUAUGAACCUGUUCUACGAUCGGGGCUAUUUUAAAUGGCUGUUGCAAGGAAAGCACUUUACGUAGUGCCCUGAAAGGCAACGGUUAACGGAGGCAAAGCACUUUACAGAACGCCCCAGUGUACGGUCAAUUCUCAGUAAAUGGUUUUGUUUUUGCCUUGUUAAGGCGAGAUCCUGCCUCCCACACGCAGAGACGUGGCCUCAUCUUUGCCAGCGUCAGUGGAACCCUCUCUCGGCAAGGCUCUGACUCUGGACUGUGUGCCCGAGACUGCACCUCCAGUACUAGCAAGAAGGUAGAACAGUGGCCGAACGACGUUCACCGAGCAGGGACCGAGCGCCACGCUGGGUGGUUUUGCAAGUAACAGCUCACUCACUUCCUACAGCAGCGGUGCCAGCCCAGGAGGAGGUACUGUUCUCCCAUCUUGUGGAUGAGGACACUGAGGCAACCUCUUCCUGGACAUUUGUCCAACUUACGGAGCUGCAAGGUGCGGGCCGUGAGUCUAAGCCCGUGAGUCUUCGGCGAUUCUAACCGCUACCCCCUCUGACGGUUACCCUGCCUCCAAACGUACAAGUAGAUGACCUUUCUUUCCUCGGCUCAAAGAAAGAACAACUCUCCAGGGCUGGCACCAGGAGGGACGCAGGCGAUCAGCGAGCCAGACUGCUCGCGAGCCUGGGAGGGGAGUGAAGCCCGGGAACCAGCCACUUGCACACGUCCCUACAGCUGAGUGAGUAUUAGCUUCGCAGCUGCAACCUGGGUCUGUGCAGUGUCAAUCCUGCACCCUCUGCCUCCGUCUCUCGCACCCCACAACGACACGACCCAUCGUCUCCCGUGCAUUAUUAAUUUCCUAUGUGGUUACGUUGUUUCUUAAUACCCAUGUCUCCCCAGUCAACCGUAGCCUUUCCAUAUGGAGUUUCAGAUCCUAUAAAUUAAAUGAGAACAGCAUGUUACACAGGAAUGAAGGAAUGGUUGUUGGAUUUUUUUUUUUUUUUUUUUUUGAGAUUACAGUGACUUCGACCCGUAGGUAUUUAUGGAAAAACACUAGGAUAUUUACAAAUGUGUUAACGCUGGAACUGUAUUUUAAUUGGUUUCAGGAAAGAAAAGGACUUGGAAGCCCGGGGAUUAAUAUAAUUACUUUGCUAGAGACGAUGAAUUCUUGGCUGGCGUCUUCUGCAGGGGACCGGGUCUGUGAGCCCCUGCGAGGCCGGAGCCCUGGCGGAGAGAAGCCCGGGGCGGCAGAACCCUGGUGCGGCAGGGGGAGCAUCUGAAAGAGACGCCAGGGCUCUGCGCUUGGGGACGAGACAGUUAAAGCCUCCCCGUGCGAGCCAGUUCUAUCACACGGCGCUGGCGACAGGUCAACAGUCUGGCUGGAGCGCGGACGGGACUGAUGAUGCCAGGCGGUGCCAGGGACCCCGGGGAGCCCUAAAGAGGCUCCCCACACUGGCUUUCCUUCUGCAGCCCGGGGGAUGUUCCGGCAACUGCCUCAUGCGAGGAAACUGGGGCUGUGUCGCUGCUUUCCGGGCGAGCCACGCUGGAGCACUGACGUCCCCGGGCCGAGAGCCCACUGUGGCUGUGACAAAGGGACCCCGGCUGAGAGCCUGCGCAGGUUGACUGUCAAUGGGGUUUCUACGAGUUGCUUACACAGUGUGAGCAGAGCCGCUAGCAAUGAGAAGGCACAGAGGAGCCAGCACGCGCUCAGGAGGGCAGCCGGGCCCUUGAGCGGCCAGGCCUCGGAUGUCAUUCAGGGAGCAACGUUCUACGUGCUCUGUGCUUCUUUGUUGGUCCAUUUGUCUGUUUUUUUCUGGUACCUUCUGUGGCGGAGUAAUGCAGGGGCAUUUGCAGAAACGGAAACCCUCACAUCUCUCCCGACGAGUUCAUUGUCUUUACCGAACAAUCAACUUUAAAGCCAUCUGAUUUGUAGAUUCAUCAACAGUGAUCAGCAGUUACACAGAUCCUCUAAGCAAUCAUGAAUAUGGUUUUUAAUUUAUUAAGUUCCUUCUAUAGGACAACCACUGAAUUAAAUACUUUGACUUACCAUAUUAAAACCCUCAAAAUAACUCUACGUAUUAGGCACGCCUAUGAUCCCCAUGUUUGUUAACAAACUCAAAGAAAGGUCUGUUGACUCGCAGGUCAGUCAUGGAGCUGACUGUAAACCAUGCCUGCUCGUCUCCAGCCCUGGACCUUGGCUGCUACACGAUGUUGGGGAUUUCAGGCCUGGAAGGGCCCUCAGAUGCCAACCUCUCUGGCUUCUUCCUUGGAUGGAUGGGGGCAGCCUGGCUCACGUGGCUCGCUGAAGACAAACUAGAAGCCAGAUUGCCCGUGGCUCAGUCCAGUGCCGUCCUAACCACAACAUGUCGCCGAAGGGAAAUGACGCAGAGUACGUUCCGCCUGUUCUCUGUCCGUUCUUAAUACGGGAUGGUUUCCCGGCGCAGUCUGCCAUGUUGGCGUGUCUGCGUGAAGGCCAUUGAUUGGAAAUGACAUUCCAUUGAAAACGCCUCUGAGGACCAUACAUGGAUCUCCAGCAGGGAAGGGUUAAAGUUGCAGGGAUUUUGCAGGCUGGAUCAAAUGUUCUUGAGAGGCCAUUCUUCACAUCUUGUUUCUUUAGCACCGGGAGAAGGCGAGUAAUCAAAGGUGACAAGCUUUCUCUGCUCGUCGGGUCCCAUUCCCGGCGCAGGGCAGCCCACAGGCACAUUGAUCUGCAGCGGCAGCUGCUACUGGCCUCUGAUGCAGAGAUUCCAGGCCACACGGGGCCUUGUCGUGUUAUUGGAAGGAAGGGAGGAAGGAGUGAAGGCACCACUAUCAGCGAAUUGAGACAAAACCUAUUGUCUGCAACCAUGGGAUUCGGUCACCUUGAGUACAUGUGCAGUGUGAUUUAGCUGCUAUCUCUGCUCAGGGCUCGGAGGUGGAAGGCAAGCACACUGGACGGUUGCUGGCCUACUUGGAUGUAUUGGUCUGCAGUCUGAAGGGGCUAGGAGGGGCCAGAGGCACUCCUCUUGGAACAGACACCGAGAGCAGUACGAGAGCUGUGUUACAAAAGUCUCUGUCUGGAAGCGGAGGAAGACACCACAGAAUAACGAAUGCCCUUCUCUGCCAUUUUCUCAUGGAUUCUUUUUUUUUUUUUUUUAAGUAUAAUUUAUUGUCAUGUUAGCUAACUGACAGUGUAUACAGUGUGCUCUGGGUUUGGGGGGGUAGAUUCCGUGAUUCAUCGCUUACAUACAACACCCGGGGCUCAGCCCGACGAAGCUACCUUCUGGAAUAGAAGGGGACAGUGGGAAAGGGGGAGAAAAAGAAUCCAUCGACGCGUAUGCAUCUGCUGUCUGCGAGGCCCUUCACGAUAACGAUAACCUUAUUAUCGUUAACUACUUUCUAACCGCCUUGCAUGAGAGAAGAUGUUUAUCGCCAUUUAAAUAAGGAAGGAAUGAAUUUGGGAGAGGCAAACCAACUUGCCCAAAUCCUACGCCGCAUCUGCAGAAAGAACUGGAAGGAAGGUGUGAUGAGGUUGAGGAUAAGGACAGUCAAGGCCGUUCGUUUCCUUAUGGGAUAUGUCAUAUUCCUUGAGACGUCCUGCAGAGUGGCUUUGAAAUGUUCUGCUGCCUCCUCGUCAUCUACGUGGGGCCAAGGGGGGCUGAAGAGUCAAGUCAGGAGACCUCAUUUCUCACCUGCACACCUGGAGCUGGAACAGACAAUUAGGGGAGCCCUGGAACAGGGCAUCGUGGGUGUGAAUCUGCCAAUCUCUUCAAUGACUUCGGAUAAGUUGACCCUCAACUUUCUUCACCUGGGUAGCGGGGGGAUGCGUGCUUCUUUCUGAGAGUUACCGUGAGGGAGGUUAAAUAAGACGCCAGCAGAGUGCCUGUUGUCCGCUCAGUGUUACUCGGCUCUUUUCUUCCCCAGCUAUGCUUAGUUAUUUUUCUUUAAUUCAUGCCAUAGGGCACCUCUUUGAGAUCCAAGACCCUACCCUCCUUUCAUACUACCGGGACCCCAAAAACAUGCCUCCGAAGGCAAUGUAAACAUAGUACUUAGCCACAGAUAUUUAUUAUUAGUAUUGUUUUUAAGUGGCUUUGUGGCAUUUGAAAUACUGUCUACUAUGACAGUACUAUGACUAUUAAACCUUAAUUCCUUUCUUAGAGGCCUCCAAAUCUAGCCACACUGGGGCUUCCAGGUGGAGGCGUGGGCAGGAGGCUUCAGCUGGUGACAAAGGGUGAUAAUCAGCCUCUGAAAACAGACUCUCACAUGCCCUCAAUUUGAGUGGGGGCCUCAGCAAUCCUUUCUCUAUUUCUUGGGUUGAUGGACAAAAGGCGUAUCCCCAGGAUUUUAAUCUUCAUUCACCACUCCUUCCAAGCCUCCACCUUUUUGUUUGCGUGUUUGCUAAGGUAAGACCCCACACUGUGCUUUUCAGUGGCAGCGAUCUAUGAUUCUUCAUAUGCAGGGAUCCCUCCAAUGCUAAGGAGGAGAUUAAAAUAUCUCGGACCAGCAGUGUGCCUGGCAGGGGCUGCCUGUGUGUCCCAACCCCCAGUCAGCAGGAGCAGCACGUGUUGGUGACUUCUUCAGAGCUAAUGUUAAAAAGUGAACUCACAGGCCCUGAAAAGAGAUACGUAUAUAAGCAAUUGAAAAGAAAAGAGUUGAUUUGUGGCAAAACAGGGCACAUUUUUACGCCAAAGCCAAAUGUUCAUUUUACUCAGCACCCCCGUGUUCCUCUGUAUCUGUACCUAAACACACACACACGCACGUGCACGUGCACACACACACACACACACACGUGUCCUGUGUGUGUGGGAAUAUGCACACAAUCUUCGUAUUUGAUACACAUAAAACAUAGACACAACCCAAUCCAAAGCAGCUGUUGGGAUUCAAGUCCAAGACUAGAACAUGAGACCCUCCAGACAUGUGAACAUAAAUGCAGAGCAGAAAUUCAACAAGAUGAUACCCCCCCCUUCCCCCACCCCCACUGUGUGUAAUCCUUUCUCUCUCAUAUUUUUAUAUAUUUUACACCCGUGGAUCUUGAUGAACUUAAGCCCGGGCAUUGUACAGAUUCCAGAUUUCAAAUGAAUAACUCUUUCAUUUAGUUAAUAGCUGCAGCAGAGCCAUAAAACCGUAAUAGUUUAUGACUUUCAGGAUAUAACCUGCAACCACAGACAAUAUAAAUUAUAUUACAUUGCACUUUAUAGCCGUAUGAAGCACACACAAGACCUCACCGCUGGUGUGAAGGCUGGGGAGUGGGGGUGGGGUGUGAUGAAUUGUUUGUUUGUUUGUUUGUUUGUUUUCCUUCUUGGCUAAGAAACACCUUCAUCCUAUGACCCAGCAAGCCGUCAUUCUGACCGGAGGCCUCCACAGCCGCUGUGCUGAAUGCCAUUGCGACCACAAAAGAAAGCUGUUGAUAAAGGAUCGAGUUCUGGUCGUGGACCUCUUUGGGGUCCGAGAUGCCUGUGCCCCUCUUGUGCCCCCCUCUCCCAGAGGAGGGGAUGAUCACCCUUCUCCGUGAGGUUCCGGCUGUGUAACCGAGCCAACGUGAGUUCCCUCCGAGGUGAGUGGCAAAAACACACCAGGUGUACGUCAUAGAGAUUUGAUAUUUCCAUACAUCAUGAGAUGAUCCCAGUGAUAAGUCUAGUUACCACCUGUCAUCGUACCAAAUGAUUACUAUAUGAGUGACCAUAUUUCCUCCGUUGUACCUCACAUCCCAUGUCUUCCCUAUUUUCUUGGUAGAAGUCUGUGACCUCUUAAUUCCCUCACCCAUUUUGUAGGGAAAGGGGACUAGUAAAAUUAGACCCCGAUGAUAAGGCAUGAGAAGGAAAUAUGUUUCAAAUGCAUGUCUACAUGGGAGGGGCUCCUACAUAAAAACCAUGUUAUGAAAAGGGCCCACAGAACAAACAUGUGUCCUUGGAGAGUCUGGUUGCUUUAAGUUAAGAGCACAUCUGGGGGUUUUCUGCACAUACUGGAGUCAAUUAUAUCUUAUCUCUAUAUGGAGUCAUUCAACAAGCACACCCUGUUCUCGGUCAUGCCUAUGACCCUUGCCAUGGCUCGUGUGGCAGUGUCUGUAGACCAGCAUUCAGGAAAGGCCACCCAAGCCGCCAGCGUGCACGGAGCUUACCCUAGAACUACCUCUCCACUAUCGACAGAGAGGAUCUCAGGCCAACUCACAGAGGAACAAAAGUGCUCAAUAAAUACUUACUCUCAUUUGUAACCUCCUCUGUAUCCUCUCUGAUUUCUUCUCAUUGGGCUUUGAUCUUUGGAAGACAUGGGGUGACCUACCGUGAGCAUAGGUAUAUUCCUGAGUCUAUCCAGAGGCUGAAUCCAUGGUGUUCCUUGAGGUUUCUCCAUCUUUAUUAUUUUUAAGACAGCUCAUCUUUCCUCCAGAAUGUCCCCUGGUGCUUCCGCUUUGAGGUCAAGGCAG